GCAGCUGCCCUGAAGUAAACUGGGCUUUUCGGAAGUGUGAUCACAGUAGCCUAUCUUGAGGCAACUUUCACGAUCAAGUCUUUAAUUCACUGGGUACAUUUGCAGUUCCAAGACAGAAAUCCUUUGACAGCAGUAAGUGCUUGGAGAGAGCCCAUUUCUGCUUCCAGUUGCCAGUUUCCACGCAAUAGCUAUGACCAUUGCAGCUUCCCCAGGGUCACAC